GGGAGACAGAGCAAGACUCUGUCUCAAAAAAAUAAAAAAUAAAAUAAAUAAAUGUUUUCUGAACUGUAUUAUCUGUUGCUUCAUAGUUAAUUUGUGUUUGCCAUUUUUAAGAUAAAAAACCAAGGAGAGUUCUCUACACAAUGUAGAUAUUUGAUAAGUACUUAUUCAUUGCUUGAUGUGCUAGUCUAUUCUUUAAAUAACAGAGGUUCCAAAACAAAGAGCUUCAGUAAUAGGAUCACAGUCAGGUAACCAAUUAUCCGAGUAGGAAGGUUGCCUUAGUUGAAGUAACUGGAGGUGAAUGGGGAUUUGUCAGGCAGGCUCUUCCAGGCAGAGGUGAACAUUCCUUGUUGUUUUGACAGAAGGAGGAAAUGGAAUGACCAUCAAGAGAAAGGUAGUUGCUGGCUUGAAAGGAUCAUCCGUACAACAGGCAGCUAAUCAGAAGAAGACCUUAUAAAUACUUUUGAUACCACCCACACUGUUCCUAUUAUUCCCCACCACUCCAUCGGCCUAGUGAACUCUUCCUCAUCCUUCAAAACCCAGCUUAAACAUGACCUUCAGGAAAUCUUCAGCUGGCUUCCCAGGACAGAGUGGGUCUGUCCUCUGCAUGCUCCUGCUGCUGUGCUGUACUCACCACACUCUACUGUAAUUUAUUGGUUUAUAAGUCAGUUCCGCUGCUGGGUUGUGAGCUCCUCCAAGGCAGGAGCUUUGCCAUAUCUACCUAUGCUCCCAGGACUUACACAGUGCCUGAUGUGUAGGAGGUACCCCCUGAAUGUUUAAUAUAAUUAGAAGGAGCAUAUCAGGUAAAUUAGCAAAGCAACCUAUGGGAUGCAGGAUGUCAGACAAUAGGGGUAGGUGGGCUUAUGGGAGCUGAAGAGCACAUGCUCCUCACCUCUAGUUGAUUGCUCUGUGCGAUAGGGGCCCAGUGGUGGUGGAUCUAACAACUUUUUAAGAGAUUCUGAAAAUUCAGACUGACUUGAAUAUUCCGGAUUUUCAACAUUAGCAACUAAUUCCAUUUGGGGGAAAAGUGUAGCAUGGGUCUGCAGAUAAGAUCUGGCUAUAAUUCAUGUUCAGAGGUAAUCAGGAAACGAUUAGUUGACUGAAAAUGUAGUUGACAAUCAGAUGGAUGCUAGGUUGCCAAUAAAACGUGUUGAGUGGAAUUCACAUGCCCCAGAAAGCUCGUCCUGGUGCUGUGGGCCAGGAAAAGGGCCCAAGUGUGGGAAGAAGGAUUCAGGAGGCAGAGCCUACUCUCUCAGUGCUGCCGGAGCCACUCUUGCUUGAGCUGAAGUACUGUGGACUCUUUUGCAGCCUUUCCUGGUAUUGCUCAAACUGAGCCACCCUUGAUAUUGUGCCUCUCAGAAUGAUGGAUUAAAUGUUAUUGUUUCCUUGCAUUCCAUAGGCAUCAGAUAUCAACUGUCAUUGUGAAACAUAUUACAAUGUAAGAGAUUUGAUAUUGUCCUAACAGUGUUAGUCUCUGGUGGCUAUACUGAGCUCUUCUGGUUUAGAGGUGAAACAACCCAGAGAAAGGAUUUAUUUAUGUAUUCGUUUUUGGUCUGAAGACCAAAAAGGAUGUUUACAAGAUAUUAACAGUAAUAAUUCAUUCAGCAGCUGUUUUUAAAGCACCUGCUGUAUGAUAACUGCUACAGAUACAGUGAUGGUGAAAGCACAGUUAGCUCAGUGUUAUUUUAGAAGUUUUUAUUUUGUGCUUCCUCGAUUUAUAUUUUCUGUACUGAUCGUGCAUAAUUUUUUACAAUCAUUAAAAAAACAAGAAAGCAA